AAUGGGCGCAAGCCUGACCCAGCAACGCCGCGUGAAGGAAGAAGGCUUUCGGGUUGUAAACUUCUUUUAUUCGGGACGAAAAAAAUGACGGUACCGAAUGAAUAAGCCACGGCUAACUACGUGCCAGCUGCCGCGGUAAUACGUAGGUGGCAAGCGUUAUCCGGAUUUACUGGGNGUAAAGGGCGUGUAGGCGGGACUGCAAGUCAGANGUGAAACCCAUGGGCUCAACCCAUGGCCUGCAUUUGAAACUGUGGGUGUUGAGUGUCGGAGAGGUAAUCGGAAUUCCGUGUGUAGCGGUGAAAUGCGUAGAUAUACGGAGGAACACCAGUGGCGAAGGCGGAUUACUGUACGAUAACUGACGCUGAGGCGCGAAAGCGUGGGGAGCAAA
rnacentral:rRNA from 1 species